AUUUCAACCCUGACCUUUUAAUAUUUAUAAGAUUGACUUCUAGAUACUGUACGGUACUCAAACACUAAACCCACACGUUUACACUAAAUGUCAAUACUAAACAAAUAAAACUAUAAGUUGUUACAGUACGGCUAACGUAACUGUGUGGAUAAUGAUAGCGCGUCGCAAAAAUUCCAAAUAAUCAAUCAAACUGGUUUCAAUGAAAUG